ACGUCAAUGCUAAAAUCUUGUUACUUAACUAUGGUGACUUCAAGGCUGAGAUCAAAUCCGUUGAUGCUCAAGAAUCCCUAAACGGUGGAGUCAGCGUUCUGGUAACUGGAUACAUGACUGGAAUGGAUAAUAUUUAUCCGUUUAGUUUAGUGCAACGGUGAAUGCAGGCGGUGAACGGUUAAAAAGCCAGAAGCCGAGGUUACCGAAAUUCAAAAUGUGCUGAUUUGGCAAAUUUGGUAAACGUGGCGGCUCUCAAGGUGGCAAUGGAUGGUGCAAAAUCGCUGUAAAGAACAGAGUUUACUGUUGUCUCUUGCUUGCUUCAGUCUCUAUAAGUACUUCAUGAAGCUCAACACUCUACAAACCCUCAACUACACUCAACUGACUUACUGCUUUUACAUCUACUGUUGUCUGAAAGAGAGCAUGCUUGCUUCAGUCUCUACAAAUACUUCAUCAACCUCAACACUCUACAAACACUCAACUGAGUCGAAUUAAACUUUCAAAUUAAUAUAUUGACUCUUUGCAUCUGGAUCUUGCGUUGUUUCUCGGCUCUCACAUCAAGGUUUCACAUUUUUUGUCGUCUGUAACAAAAUUCUGCCUCUUGCAUUGUUGUAAGUUCUUCUAAAUUUCUUGGUUUUUUUGUAACUUUUAACUGUGGUUUUUGGAUCUGUAUUGUUUAACUGCC